rfam:Brachypodium distachyon strain Bd21 chromosome 1, whole genome shotgun sequence.
GGAUGCGAUCAUAUCAGCACCAAAGCAUCGAAUCCCAUCUGAACUCCGAAGUUUAGCGUGCUUGGGCGAGAGUAGUAUUAGGAUGGAUGACCUUCUAGAAAGUCCUUGUGUUGCAUUCA